rnacentral:rRNA from 11 species
AUUAGCCUAAAUCCCCUAAAGGUAUCAGGUACCACCUGAUCCUGGAAGUUAAGCAGGGUUAACCCUGGUAAGUAUUUGGAUGGGAGGCUAGCAAAGAAUACUAAGUGGUGUAGGCUAUAU